rnacentral:rRNA from 1 species
UACGUAGGGUGCAAGCGUUGUCCGGAAUUAUUGGGCGUAAAGAGCUUGUAGGCGGUUUGUCGCGUCUGCUGUGAAAUUUCGGGGCUCAACCCCGAACUUGCAGUGGGUACGGGCAGACUAGAGUGUGGUAGGGGAGACUGGAAUUCCUGGUGUAGCGGUGAAAUGCGCAGAUAUCAGGAGGAACACCGGUGGCGAAGGCGGGUCUCUGGGCAGUAACUGGCGCUGAGGAGCGAAAGCGUGGGGAGCGAACAGG